rnacentral:rRNA from 1 species
AUACAGGUGGUGCAUGGUUGUCGUCAGCUCGUGUCGUGAGAUGUUGGGUUAAGUCCCGCAACGACGCGCAACCCUUGUCUUUAGUUACCAUCAGUUUAGUUGGGGACUCUAGAGAGACUGCCGGUGAUAAACCGGAGGAAGGUGGGAUGACGUCAAAUCAUCAUGCCCCUUAUGGCCUGGGCUACAAACGUAAUACAAUGGCGUAUACAAAGGGAUGCGAAGUGGUGACAUGGAGCUAAACUCACAAAGUACGUCUCAGUUCGGAUUGAAGUCUGCAACUCGACUUCAUGAAGCUGGAAUCGCUAGUAAUCGCGGAUCAGCAUGCCGCGGUGAAUACGUUCUCGGGGUUU